rnacentral:ncRNA from 1 species
UGGAGCCGUAAACGCGGAGACGUGUACGUACGGUUCGGGGAGGAGUAUUUGGAAACCUGUCAUAGUGACAUGACAAGGCGCUGGAUACUUACUCUAC